GCCCCUAUAGUUUAAUGGAUAGAAUAAUCCCCUCCUAAGGGAUAGAUGCAGGUUCGAUUCCUACUAGGGGUGCCA
rnacentral:tRNA from 1 species